rnacentral:rRNA from 1 species
AGAGUUUGAUCCUGGCUCAGAAUGAACGCUGGCGGCGUGCUUAACAUAUGCAAGUCGUACGAGAACUCUUUAGCUUGCUAAAGAUAGUAAAGUGGCGUACGGGUGAGUAACGCGUGGGUAAUCUACCUCUUAAUCUGGGAUAACAUUGCGAAAGCGAUGCUAAUACCGGAUAAUAUCUCAAAAUCGCCAGGUUUUGAGAUCAAAAGUGGCCUCUACAUGUAAGCUGCUGUUUGGAGAUGAGCCCGCGUACCAUUAGCUUGUUGGUAGGGUAAUGGCCUACCAAGGCAACGAUGGUUAGCUGGUCUGAGAGGAUGAUCAGCCACACUGGAACUGACACACGGUCCAGACUCCUACGGGAGGCAGCAGUGAGGAAUUUUGCGCAAUGGGGGAAACCCUGACGCAGCAACGCCGCGUGAGUGAUGAAGGCCUUUGGGUCGUAAAGCUCUGUCAAGUGGGAAGAAAAUGUAAAAUGAUAAUACCAUUUUACACUGACGGUACCACUGAAGGAAGCACCGGCUAACUCCGUGCCAGCAGCCGCGGUAAUACGGAGGGUGCAAGCGUUAUUCGGAAUUAUUGGGCGUAAAGGGCGCGUAGGCGGC